rnacentral:rRNA from 1 species
UACGUAGGUGACAAGCGUUGUCCGGAUUUACUGGGCGUAAAGAGCGCGCAGGCGGUCGUUCAAGUCGAGUGUGAAAGCCCCCGGCUCAACUGGGGAGGGUCACUCGAUACUGAUCGACUCGAAGGCAGGAGAGGGAAGUGGAAUUCCCGGUGUAGUGGUGAAAUGCGUAGAUAUCGGGAGGAACACCAGUGGCGAAGGCGACUCUUUGGCCUGUAACUGACACU